rnacentral:tRNA from 1 species
UCUAUCCCCAAAUCCCCA